AGAGGCUCUGUGCAGCAGAUUGGGCAAGAGGGUCCUGAGUUGGUGUCAGAAAGGGGGUGAAGGGAGAGAGAGGUUGUGCGAGGCCUUCAGGACCAUGGUAAGGACUUUGGCUUUUAGUCUGAAUGAAAUGGGGAAUUGAGGGGUUUUGAGCAGAGGCAUGAUAAAAUUUGCAUUACAUUUCAAAAGGCUCAGUCCAGUUGCUCUGCUGAGAAUGUAGGGGGCAAAGGUGGAAGAAGGGAAGUUAGACCCUUGCACAUCACUGUGUGUGUCCCUAGAAGAACCCAAGAGUCUGGGAAGCAAGUGAUAGAAGUAGGGAUGGAUCCACCCGCCAUCAUCAUCACUUAUGUUCUUUGGGAAAUGUGUGAUUCCAGCCCUGAUGACUCUCACCUUAAGUUUUUGGAAAGAGACCCACCAAAAUUUCAGAGAAGUUAUUCCAAGGCGGUCUGACUUACUGUACAAAGCAAGCAGAUCUGCGCAGGGGAAGUUGUAUUCACUGUCUGGCUGAUUUGGGGAGUCUAAGGGCCUGGCCUCUUGCUGCAGUCUGGGACAUCUCUGAAGAACAUGGCUGGUUUCACAUCUCAUGGAACUGGUUGAAGUCUCUAAGGUGUGUUCACUUUCUUCCUCCUCCCAGUCUGCUCUAUGGCGGACAGAAUAAUGGCUCCCCAGGGAUGUCUGCAUCCUCCUCCCCAAUAUGCGUGACUGCAUUGCCUUCCAUGACAAAUGGAAAUCUGCACACAUGAGGAAGUUAAGGAUCUGGAGAUGGAGAGAUUAUCCUUGGUGGACAAAAUGUAAUCCCAAGGGUCCUUAUAAGGAAGAAUCGGGAAGUCAGAGAAGAGAGAAGAUGCUACCACCUGUUUUUGAAGAUAGAGCCACAGCCUAAAGACUGUAGGUAGCCUAUAGAAGAUGAAAAAAGUCAAGACAGAUUCUCCUUAAGAGCUUGAGAAGGAAUGCAGUCCUGAUGACUGAUUUGGGACUUUGGUCUCUAGAACUAUUCAGUGAUAAAUUAUGCUGUAUGAAGUCACCGUUUAUUGCUGUUUACAGCAGCAAUAGGAAACAAAUACACGUUCCCUUACAGGUGAUGUUUGGGAAAAGCAUGCCCCAACAAGCUUCUAACAUGCAAAUCUUUUUUUAAAUGAUUUUUUUCCCAUUAUAGCUGGUUUACAGUAUUGUCAAUUUUCUAUUGUACAUCAAAAUGACCCAGUCACACACACACACACACACACACACACAUAUACACUCUUUUUCUCACAUUAUCCUCCAUCCUG
rnacentral:lncRNA from 1 species